rnacentral:rRNA from 1 species
GGGGCGCAGCAGGCGCGAAACCUCCGCAAUGCUCGAAAGAGCGACGGGGGGACCCCCAGUGCCGUGGCAUCGCCACGGCUUUUCCGGAGUGUAAAGAGCUCCGGGAAUAAGGGCUGGGCAAGGCCGGUGGCAGCCGCCGCGGUAAUACCGGCGGCCCGAGUGGUGGCCGCUAUUAUUGGGCCUAAAGCGUCCGUAGCCGGGCCAGUAAGUCCCUGGCGAAAUCCCACGGCUCAACCGGGGGGCUUGCUGGGGAUACUGCUGGCCUUGGGACCGGGAGAGGCGGAGGGUACUCCUGGGGUAGGGGUGAAAUCCUAUAAUCCCAGGAGGACCGCCAGUGGCGAAGGCGCUCCGCUAGAACGGGUCCGACGGUGAGGGACGAAGGCCAGGGGAGCGAAUCGGAUUAGAUACCCGGGUAGUCCUGGCUGUAAAGGAUGCGGGCUAGGUGUCGGGUGAGCUUCGAGCUCGCCCGGUGCCGAAGGAAAGCCGUUAAGCCCGCCGCCUGGGGAGUACGGCCGCAAGGCUGAAACUUAAAGGAAUUGGCGGGGGAGCAC